UCUGGCUCAGGACGAACGCUGGCGGCGUGCUUAACACAUGCAAGUCGAGCGAUGAAGCUUCCUUCGGGAAGUGGAUUAGCGGCGGACGGGUGAGUAACACGUGGGUAACCUGCCUCAAAGUGGGGGAUAGCCUUCCGAAAGGAAGAUUAAUACCGCAUAACAUAAGAGAAUCGCAUGAUUUUCUUAUCAAAGAUUUAUUGCUUUGAGAUGGACCCGCGGCGCAUUAGCUAGUUGGUAAGGUAACGGCUUACCAAGGCAACGAUGCGUAGCCGACCUGAGAGGGUGAUCGGCCACAUUGGAACUGAGACACGGUCCAGACUCCUACGGGAGGCAGCAGUGGGGAAUAUUGCGCAAUGGGGGAAACCCUGACGCAGCAACGCCGCGUGGGUGAUGAAGGUCUUCGGAUUGUAAAGCCCUGUUUUCUGGGACGAUAAUGACGGUACCAGAGGAGGAAGCCACGGCUAACUACGUGCCAGCAGCCGCGGUAAUACGUAGGUGGCGAGCGUUGUCCGGAUUUACUGGGCGUAAAGGGUGCGUAGGCGGAUGUUUAAGUGGGAUGUGAAAUCCCCGGGCUUAACCUGGGGGCUGCAUUCCAAACUGGAUAUCUAGAGUGCAGGAGAGGAAAGCGGAAUUCCUAGUGUAGCGGUGAAAUGCGUAGAGAUUAGGAAGAACACCAGUGGCGAAGGCGGCUUUCUGGACUGUAACUGACGCUGAGCACG
rnacentral:rRNA from 1 species